CCUACGGGAGGCAGCAGUGAGGAAAAUUGGUCAAUGGACGAGAGUCUGAACCAGCCAAGUAGCGUGAAGGAUGACUGCCCUAUGGGUUGUAAACUUCUUUUAUAUGGGAAUAAAACGUUCCACGUGUGGGAUUUUGUAUGUACCAUAUGAAUAAGGAUCGGCUAACUCCGUGCCAGCAGCCGCGGUAAUACGGAGGAUCCGAGCGUUAUCCGGAUUUAUUGGGUUUAAAGGGAGCGUAGGUGGAUUGUUAAGUCAGUUGUGAAAGUUUGCGGCUCAACCGUAAAAUUGCAGUUGAAACUGGCAGUCUUGAGUACAGUAGAGGUGGGCGGAAUUCGUGGUGUAGCGGUGAAAUGCUUAGAUAUCACGAAGAACUCCGAUUGCGAAGGCAGUUCACUGGACUGCAACUGACACUGAGGCUCGAAAGUGUGGGUAUCAAACAGGAUUAGAUACCCGAGUAGUC
rnacentral:rRNA from 1 species